GACGAACGCUGGCGGCGUGCCUAACACAUGCAAGUCGAACGGAAGUUAGAGCUUCGGUUUUAACUUUAGUGGCGAACGGGUGAGUAACGCGUGAGGAACCUGCCUUUCAGUGGGGGACAACAGUUGGAAACGACUGCUAAUACCGCAUGACACUUUUGGGAGACAUCUCCUGGAAGUCAAAGCUUUAUGUGCUGAAAGAUGGCCUCGCGUCUGAUUAGCUAGUUGGUGAGGUAACGGCUCACCAAGGCGACGAUCAGUAGCCGGUCUGAGAGGAUGAACGGCCACAUUGGGACUGAGAUACGGCCCAGACUCCUACGGGAGGCAGCAGUGGGGAAUAUUGGGCAAUGGGGGAAACCCUGACCCAGCAACGCCGCGUGAAGGAAGAAGGCCUUCGGGUUGUAAACUUCUUUUACCAGGGACGAAGGACGUGACGGUAC
rnacentral:rRNA from 1 species